AUGAUUGGGACGUGUGGAUCUCCAUUUGGUUUGGCGCUCCUUCCUUAUUUACCUCUGAGAAUGUGGCUUUAUCUGUCGAUGCUUCCUGUGAUCUCGGAGCAUCCACUACCAGGAGCAGUUGAUUUGACGCGGAAUGUCACCGGUGAUCCAUCUCUAAAUGGGUCAUACGCGUCACAUCAGCUUGCAUUUGGCAGUACAAAACAUAGAUUUCACAAGAGAUUUUUUGCGAGUGAAAGAAACGAGACGGCGUUGCAUGUGAGGGUUAGAAUGGAAAAUAGCCUGAACUGCGCCUCCUCUGGCACUUCCUGUAGACAAGCGUGGACUACUUUGAUCGGAGAAGACCACAUGUUGAUGCCGAUUAAGUAUUGGGAGCAAAUAAACCUCGAUCGUCAAAUCACAGAGGAUAGUAGGAAAAUAGAAAGAAAUAUCCACAUGCAAUAA
rnacentral:rRNA from 1 species